GCGCUCGUAGCUCAGCUGGAUAGAGCGCCGGACUUCGAAUCCGUAGGCCGCAGGUUCGAAUCCUGCCGGGCGCA
rnacentral:tRNA from 1 species